AAUCCCCAGCCUGGUCUUGAACAAUCUGUUGUUCUUCUUGUUUGCACUAGGAUACUAAAGGAAAUAAUCCCUAUGCUUUUGUUGCGCCCAGAUGGAGAAAUCC
rnacentral:snoRNA from 1 species